ACCUACAAGGGCCCUUCCUGAGCGUGACGACUGUGUCCAUGCCGCACGCGUGAGAUGCGCCGCCCUCAAACCUUGCUCCGACCCUGGCACAUCACUCGUCUGACA